GUCUUGGUUGAUUUCUUUUGAUUUUCCCAUGAUGUCAAGCAAAGAGGAACUGAGUUUGAAGGUCUGAAGAUCAAAGCCCAUCCACGUCCCCUUUUCUGAAGGGAGAGAGUGACCCAAGCCGCACUGAGGUCCCAGUAUUUGAGAUCCCGUACAUCAACAGGCUCCUUAGCAACAGAAAGAUGUGUAUUACUGUCAGUCUGUCAACAUGUCUGUUUAUUUAUGUAUUUAUGGAGGCAUGGACCAUAGACAUAACUACAAAUUGCACUCAAAUAUAGUGAGUAACUGUCAUGUUGCAGGGUGAGACACACACAGGCAGAUGAAGAACAAGAUCACUUGGAACUUCCAACCUCCAAUAGAGGCGCCAAUCAAGCCUGGUUAUAUAAUGUGCCAGAGAUCUCAAUCAUUGGAUGUACAGUGGAAAAAAUCUACACCAGAGAUGCCAAGCAUAGAGUCCUUUCUGGGCAACUUUGCCCUUUGUAAGCUGAAACUGCUAUAAAGUCACUUGAGUGCUUACUUAUAGUAAUAGUUAAGUUGGAGUAUCUAUUUUGCCUCGCUGUCCCUUCUCUCCCUGACUGUAGAGGGGUGGUGGUGGAGCCCAUGGGGAGUAGAGCAUGGGGCAGGAAAGCCCCCUCUCAAUGCAGGAGCCGGACGGUUCCACCCAGGCAUCCAACAUGGGUACCCUGCGGGUGAGGGGAUUACCCCGAGCCAUUCGGUCCCGAGAUGCCGGACCUAAGCUCUGUCACACAGGACCUCUUUAAGCUCAUUUCCCAGAGCAAGAAACUCCCCACAGCAUUAGUUCAGCCACACUACAUACCUUCAAUCCUCCACACAGCAACAGGGAAGAACAGGGCACAUAUCUUCCCUCCAGGGCGGUGUCAGUCUCCUCUCAGGGCUGUGUCAGGCCAUGGUGUCAGAAAGUCUUCCCUCCAGGGCGGUGUCUGGCCAUGGUGUCAGAAAGUCUUCCCUCCAGGGCGGUGUCUGGCCAUGGUGUCAGAAAGUAUUCCAAGCUACGUGAGACAGAUUCCUCUGUCCAGCCUCAACCAGGCCAUUCAGAAAAUCAACAGUGCCACAGAAAUGUAUUUUGGGACUCUGUUGCCUCAGGUGGUCAUGCAGGGUUUCUGAUGGAGGAGCUGAAGAGGAUCACGGGGGUGGGCUCAAAGCCCCCAUGUACUUUAUGUGUCUGACUGAGCUGAAGAGGCUGUAGCAUGUGCAGGGAGUAGGUACCAGCGCCAUGUAUAAAAUCCUGUCACGGACGCAUACCUGAUCGGAAUUAAAAUGACAUUCCCCACCUUCUUAAACAUCCCAAAUGACUCGACACUACUGAGUGAGGUCCCAUUUACUGACCAUCAUUUGAGUAGGCCUUGACUUUUUGUUGUUACAUUACAGCCUUAUUAUAAAAUGUAUUAAAUUAUUUGUUUUCCUCAUCAACACACAAUACCCCACAAUGACAAAG